rnacentral:RNase_P_RNA from 3 species
GGCAGAGGGAGUCCGGCCACCGCCUUACCGGGAGUAGGACCCCGGUGGCGAGGAAAGUCCCCCCACCGACCGGGCAGGCGACUGGACACACGUCCAGAGCGGGAGACCGCUGGCACUGGAACAGCAACGACACGUCCACUCCGGAGUGAUGAUGCGCGCGACCCGACCCGCGAGGGAAGGAAGCUAACCCGCAAAACGCCGAUGGAGUGGGAGCGAUGGAACGGCGAAUCCUCGCCGGUGCAAGCCCGUCGUUCAUUGGUAGCCCGGAGACCGCGACGGGUGCUCAGCCGAAUGCCGGACCGAACAGAAGGGGGCUUACUCCCCUCAGCC